rnacentral:rRNA from 1 species
UACGUAGGUGGCAAGCGUUGUCCGGAUUUAUUGGGUUUAAAGGGUGCGUAGGCGGCUUAUUAAGUCAGUGGUGAAAUAUCGCAGCUUAACUGUGAGGGUGCCAUUGAUACUGAUGAGCUUGAGUACAGACGAGGUAGGCGGAAUUGACGGUGUAGCGGUGAAAUGCUUAGAUAUCGUCAAGAACACCUAUAGCGAAGGCAGCUUACUAGGCUGUAACUGACGCUGAGGCACGAAAGUGUGGGGAUCAAACAGG